rnacentral:tRNA from 1 species
UCCUCAAUAGCUCAAUGGUAGAGCAGUCGGCUGUUAACCGAUGUAUAUAGGUUCAAUUCCUAUUUGGGGAG